rnacentral:misc_RNA from 1 species
AGAGACUACAGACCAAUUGCCAAUCUAUACAGACUUGCUUACAUUGGAAGUGAAAGAUAAUAUGAUUCAUUACCUGUGUACAGAAGCAAUAUCUCGAAAAUCAAACAUCUACACAUUCCUUGUGACUACGAAACUGGUGGCAACUACUAGUUUCUUUAACCACGCCACCUUAUUGUAAGGAUUCCAAAAUUUUCAGAUGACGCAAAUCUUUGAUUUUACCAAUGCUUACCAAGUAUCAACAGCACCAGAACUUACAUUUUUCUUUCCAAUCCUCUGAUAACUUCCGCCAUGAUACACAAAUUUGAAGAAGUUUUUCUCGCUAUCAGGCCAACUACUCCUAUUUUCUCUUCAUCUCGUCAACAAGUUUUCUGAUGGUAUAGUACAGUUUCUUACACAAUUUUGUAACUUUGCAGAUCAACAAUGCAUAAUAUCGUUGUUCCCCUUAGCGAUUGAAUGGAAAGCACAGUAGCAUAUCUUCGUUGCAGCUUAGGGAGGUAUAUUUUCUAAGCUGAAAUAGAUUACAGCUUCAAAGAAACCAACGCUGAUCCAGAUCAUCUUUUCACUAUUAGAGAGGUACCAUUUGCUGACUGGACUAGUUUACAGCUUCGAAGAAAAGGACCUGCGGUUGCAAAUGCCCUCUCUCACACAUGACGAGAACAUCAUCCCAGCCACCAAUUACCUUUACGGUUUUGUCAUCAUACAUGAUCCACUGUCCACGAUCAUGACUGUAGGCAAAACAGUGAUAAUGCUGUCCAUAGUAGCAAACCACAGAAGUUAAGCAAUGUUUGUUUUUCGGAUCAAGACCCCGAUAAAGGACGCCGAUGUCCACUUCAGUAGAUAAAGCUGAUAAUGUGGCUUUUAUGUCAUCUACAUCCUCACAAGUAUUUUGCCAACCCAAAACCGUUGUGAAAAUAUGUGGUGGAGCAGAGAGAAUGUGAUGAAUAUAGUUAAGUUUCUCACAUCCACCAACCUCAGGAUCGCAAGCCAACUGAUGGUUCAUCUCAACAAGAUUCAGAAGCUCGUCAAAUGAGCUUUCUGGACACAUAACCUUCAUAGUUCGGAGAGCACUGGCAUUAAUAUUAUGAAAAAAUGAUGUGUACUUCAGAUGUCUAGACUCCAAUCCACAAUUAUAGCAGUUCAUCCGUUCAAAAAUAUCCAUCCCGAAAAGAGAAUGCACAGUACAAGCACUACUUGUGCAAUCCCAAGAGCCCGUACAGCUGCUAUCAGCAGAUUCAGCAUCUGAACCACCUAAAGUUGAUGUAAAUGAUCGAUGCAGGCAAUCGAAUAUUA